rnacentral:hammerhead_ribozyme from 1 species
GUCCAUAUGACGAGUCCCAAACAGGACGAAACUCGCAUUCUGGAU